UUGAACGCUGGCGGCAUGCCUUACACAUGCCGGUCGAACGGCAGCACGGGUGCUUGCACCUGGUGGCGAGUGGCGAACGGGUGAGUAAUACAUCGGAACAUGUCCUGUAGUGGGGGAUAGCCCGGCGAAAGCCGGAUUAAUACCGCAUACGAUCUACGGAUGAAAGCGGGGGACCUUCGGGCCUCGCGCUAUAGGGUUGGCCGAUGGCUGAUUAGCUAGUUGGUGGGGUAAAGGCCUACCAAGGCGACGAUCAGUAGCUGGUCUGAGAGGACGACCAGCCACACUGGGACUGAGACACGGCCCAGACUCCUACGGGAGGCAGCAGUGGGGAAUUUUGGACAAUGGGCGAAAGCCUGAUCCAGCAAUGCCGCGUGUGUGAAGAAGGCCUUCGGGUUGUAAAGCACUUUUGUCCGGAAAGAAAUCCUUGGCCCUAAUACGGUCGGGGGAUGACGGUACCGGAAGAAUAAGCACCGGCUAACUACGUG
rnacentral:rRNA from 1 species